rnacentral:rRNA from 1 species
UACGAGGGGGGCAAGCGUUGUUCGGAAUUAUUGGGCGUAAAGGGCGCGUAGGCGGUGCGGUAAGUCACCUGUGAAAACUCUGGGCUCAACUCAGAGCCUGCAGGCGAAACUGCCGUGCUUGAGUGUGGGAGAGGUGCGUGGAAUUCCCGGUGUAGCGGUGAAAUGCGCAGAUAUCGGGAGGAACACCGGUGGCGAAGGCGGUUCUCUGGGCCUGUACUGACGCUGAGACGCGAAAGCGUGGGGAGCGAACAGG